rnacentral:lncRNA from 1 species
AUGCAGGAAGGAAGAUCAGUGAUGGGUGAUGAGAAAGCAGGAGAGGAUGAACAAGAAAAGACCUCACUAGCAGCAGCUUCCCACCUUGGAGAGGAGUCUGGAGAUGAAGGCUUCUGCUCUGCAUCAGCUGCUGGGCAACAGAACUGGUGUAAAACAGUUUCAUUCCUGCAAGAAAAAAAAAACAAACAGGUUAGUGUUCAGCUCGCUCAGCAGAAAACUCAGGUCUGUUCCAAGGGGAUAGUGACACCCAAUGAUGUUGAAAGAGAAACCUGAUUAUUACAUGAAUGUUUUACACUCUGAGAUGUUAGGGAGUGGGAGAUAAGGGGGCUAGCAAUUUUAUACCUCUCCUUUACUCUCCCCUCUGCUGAGGUGAAACUGUAGAGAACAGUCAAAAGCACACGAACGGGAAGGUUUUUUUUCUGUCAUUAUCUGUCUCAUGAUCCCAUACAUUUCAUGAAAAAUAGGUUUGCCAGUCUCUAAUGUUUAUUUAGUUUGGGACACAAACAUCUCCUUAGACGUGUUUCCUUAGAUACGGUUCCUGUAAAAUUUAAAUGCAAAGAAGUUGAUUUUUUUUUUCAUGGCAAUGGCUGAAUUAACUCUGAAGACAUUUCUCCUGAAGCCUCUCUUAAGCACAAAAAUGGCCCUAGCACAUCAAUACUGGAGAUUGCCAAUAACAGUAGAGAAAAACUGACAUGACAAGCACAAGAGGGUGGGCUGUGAUCGUGAGAAGAACAGAAAGUAGGAAGAGAUCACAGCAAAGAAAAACAAAAACAUAAGUAACGAACCUGAGGAAAAUAGGAAAACAAAAGGCUAAAAAUGUGUUUAUUAGAUGAGAAAGGCAAAAGAACUCAUCCAAAGACAGAAAUGCUAGACUGAGCUUUCCAAAACUGUUCACUAAUCUUGAGUGACAUACUCUUGGGUCUCUUGCCUGGAAAUACUUCUAAAGAGCCUCAUCUUAAGGGCUGUUGGGCAACUACCAUAGCACUGGAACCCAGGAAGACAGGAAGACCUGUUCAGCACUUCUGAAAAUUAGAUCCUUUCAAAAUAGUUCCUUGUGGACCCUUGAGGUGUCAGAGGCAGCACAAAUCAACAGCCAACUUUGAACACCCUGACCUUCAUCAAUGAAAAGGAGUCACUAAAAAGAGACACAGUGGCAGGCAAAAAAGUACUAGAUGAACGGUAUUGAAAAGAAGAAGAGAAUAAGAAAAGCAGGUGACACAAAGCAGGCUGAACCCUCAGAUGGCACAAAUCACCCUGUCUCCAAGUCUGUGGA